GGGGAAUAUUGGACAAUGGGCGCAAGCCUGAUCCAGCCAUGCCGCGUGAGUGAUGAAGGCCUUAGGGUUGUAAAGCUCUUUUAUCCGGGACGAUAAUGACGGUACCGGAGGAAUAAGCCCCGGCUAACUUCGUGCCAGCAGCCGCGGUAAUACGAAGGGGGCUAGCGUUGCUCGGAAUCACUGGGCGUAAAGGGCGCGUAGGCGGCGUUUUAAGUCGGGGGUGAAAGCCUGUGGCUCAACCACAGAAUGGCCUUCGAUACUGGGACGCUUGAGUAUGGUAGAGGUUGGUGGAACUGCGAGUGUAGAGGUGAAAUUCGUAGAUAUUCGCAAGAACACCGGUGGCGAAGGCGGCCAACUGGACCAUUACUGACGCUGAGGCGCGAAAGCGUGGGGAGCAAACAGGA
rnacentral:rRNA from 1 species